GACGAACGCUGGCGGCGUGCUUAACACAUGCAAGUCGAAUGGAAAGGCCCUGCUUUUGUGGGGUGCUCGAGUGGCGAACGGGUGAGUAACACGUGAGUAACCUGCCCUUGACUUUGGGAUAACUUCAGGAAACUGGGGCUAAUACCGGAUAGGAGCUCCUGCUGCAUGGUGGGGGUUGGAAAGUUUCGGCGGUUGGGGAUGGACUCGCGGCUUAUCAGCUUGUUGGUGGGGUAGUGGCUUACCAAGGCUUUGACGGGUAGCCGGCCUGAGAGGGUGACCGGCCACAUUGGGACUGAGAUACGGCCCAGACUCCUACGGGAGGCAGAAGUGGGGAAUAUUGCACAAUGGGCGGAAGCCUGAUGCAGCAACGCCGCGUGCGGGAUGACGGUCUUCGGGUUGUAAACCGCUUUCGCCUGUGACGAAGCGUGAGUGACGGUAAUGGGUAAAGAAGCACCGGCUAACUACGUG
rnacentral:rRNA from 1 species